CAGAUACCCAGAAUUCUCGGCGUCUCAACACCCGCCAGACCCUCCAGCCGGCCAAAGUCAGUGGAAUCUGCCUCAUAGCGGAGCUGGAGAUCUCGACCCCAACCAUACCUGUGGACAGGUCGACAGUGUUCCUACCACCACUAGAGGGCACUCUGAGAAAAUAUGUGGAUGAGAGAGAGGAGCAGGUAGAGGGACAUCAACUCUGCGAGGACCACAGUGUCCAACAGGGCUGGCUGUUGCCUGCUGAUAGACCAGUGCUCGGAGCUGCAGCGCUGUCUGCAGUUUAAGAGACGUUCCAGCUACAGUGGAGAAACCAACAUGUGGAAGGAGACACGCUACAUCAGCAGCUCCCGCCUCAUGGUGUAGACGUCACCAGCUUCCUGUCCCCCUCCAUCACAUGACACACACACGACAAUGAGUCAGCUAAAUCAGUGUUAAUCAUCAAUAAAACACUCAAUAGUUUUGU